CAGGGUGCCCAGUUAAAUUUAAAUUUCAGAUAAACCCUGAAUAAUUUUUUACUAUAAGGAUGACCCAUGCAACAUUUAGGACAUACUUAUACUAAAAGUUUUAUUCAUUAUUUAUCUGAAAUUCAAAUUUAACUGAGUAUCCUGCA
rnacentral:miRNA from 1 species